ensembl:lncRNA
CUGCACUCCCAGGAGAAGCCUCCAGGGGGCGCCCUCAUCCCCCAAGUCCAGAGGGCCUUGGGGGCACCAAGCCUGGGGUGAUGGUUGGAACACAGGAACUAGCUCUGUAACCUAGAGAAAUAGCUUGGCUGCUCCUAGCCUGUCUACUCAUGUGUCAGGAGGAAGAAUGAUAGCUAUUUUGUUCCCGGGUCUACUUACCACAUCGGGUUGCAGGGGCGGAGUAAUGGAGGCCCUUGUGCCUGCCACUGGGUUUUCCCUUGUGGCUCAGCUGGUAAAGAAUCCGCCUGCAAUGAGAGAGACCUAGGUUCGAUCCCUGGGUUGGGAAGAUCCUCUGGAGAAGGGAACAGCUGCCCACCUGCAGCUAGGCGGCUCCCGUCUCAGGUAGGAGCCCUGCAUCUGGGCCCUAGGCAGAGAAGAGGACUGGGCUUCUUGUCAGGGAAAGGGAACGGGCCUAAAGUCCCCCCAACAGGCUGAUCGCUGGCCCGGACUCCAGCUGUUUGGAAUUCAGUUCACAGACGAGGAAGCAGGAGCCGUUGCAGAUUUCCCCGCCUCGACCCCCACCCCGCACGCCCCCUCCGCAGGACAGUCUGAGUGAACUGAGGGACUGGACACCGGAAAAGAAGCUCUCCAGGGGCUCUCCAGGGGCUCAGGUCCCGGCUGAGUCACCUGCCUGGACGUCCGUUUCAUAUGGCCUCUCUGUUACUCACUAACCAAGAACAUGACUUAAUUCCCCGUGGGCGAUCCCACCAGGCACAUAAAGAAAUGCGUGAUGACUGUGACACAGAAGCUAAAAGCCUCAAUUACCCUUCGUGACAGGAACAUGGGACUUUUUUAUGAAGAGAGAAAUUUUUGCCUCGUAAAUUGCACGUGUGAGGGGUCAGCCCGCGCUGCUGGUGACCCUGUUACAUCCUUCACAGCCAGAGGCAGCCUCACAGAUGGCAGGGAUCACCCCAGCCUCACCCCUGCUUAUUAAGCCCCAGAUUAGUGGUUUGAGAGAGCCCUGAGGGGUCAGAGCGGGGGCCGGGGUUAGGCCAGGAGAGGCAGCCAGAAUGUAGGAAUAUUCCCGGCUCUCAUCCUGGCUCUGCUUACGGGUAUCAGUUGUAGCGGGUGGGCAAAGGAGAGGAUCUUUAAAAGGCUUUCUUGACACUCCCACCCCCAGAAAUUCUGAUGUAAUGGGUCCAGCGUGGAGCCUGGGUACUGGGAGCUUUAAUAGUGGCUCAGGUAAUUCUGAAGUACAGCCAAAUGGAGAGCUAAAUAGACCUUACUCCACCCUGCCAAGUGAUGAAUUGAACAGAAAGUUUUUAGCAAGUGCGGGCUGGUGUUGGGGGCGGGGGCGGGGGGACCAGGAAUAAAACACAGUUUCUUUACAUGGAGCCCUAUUUCUGACUCCGCAUAUCUCAUGGGCAACAAGGACCCUGUGAGGAGGCCUGGGUGCAGGAUGUGGUCCCUUGGGGAGAAGCAAGCCCAAGCUUGAGGUGAACCCAGAAGAUGAUCUGAUCUGUUUGGGAGCUCCCACCAAUGCACACAGCCACUGCUCCCCUCCCAAAGCUGUCAUUCCCAUGGGCGUUCACCCCUUCAUCUCUGCUGUCUUGCUCCCCUGACCUUCACCAGGUGUCCUGAAUGCCCCACACCCAGCUGCCUGAGGAUCCCCUUUCACUCCACUUGCAAACGUUUGCUGACUGCCUCGGGCUCCUACUGAGCACCAGGACUACCAGAGGCAGUGGCCUGGUAGAAACAGGGACAUAGAGGGCUACUUCAAGGACAUAGGGAUUCUUAUCCCCAACAGCUGGAAUCCGUCCAUUUGAUGCGCUACCGCAGGGGGCGCAAGCGGAGGUUCAGAAGAUUCUUUAACAACUUGUGGUUCUCCGCAGGGAGGUUCCCUAGCUUUCCACUUACUCUUAUGUAUUAAAAAAAAAAAAAAAAAAGCCCCGUCUUCUAUUGUAAAAAGCCAGUUCACUUGAAUAUCAAAGCCCCAAACUCUCACCCAGUUUUGCUCUCUCCCCUUCCCUCAGCCCAGAGGUGGCUUGGGGGUCUCGGGGUUCGUGCUGACAUUAUGGCGGAGACUCUGUGUGCUGUUUAGGGGCUUUCCAGGGCGGGGGUGGAGUUCCUUGGACUGGACAAUAUCUCCUCCCAAAGUUGAAACAACAGCAGAAGCCCUGUCUAACAAGGCUGUGUACUUGCCCGAUAUUAAAACUUCUGUGUGUUGUUGAUUUAUUUUUUUACUUUUUAAAAUUUGUUUCUUUUUUAAUUGAAGU